CCCUAAGGUACAAUAUUAGUACCGAGUUUCGAUCCUGGCUCAGGAAGUCGUAACAAGGUAACCAGAGUUUGAUCCUGGCUCACGAAUGCGUAACACGUGAACCACAUGUCUGUACUACUGCGAUAACUCCGGGAAACCGGGGCUAAUACCGGAUGGUUGUCUGAACCGCAUGAUUCAGACAUAAAAGGUGGCUUCGGCUACCACUUACAGAUGGACCCGCGGCGCAUUAGCUAGUUGGUGAGGUAACGGCUCACCAAGGCGACGAUGCGUAGCCGACCUGAGAGGGUGAUCGGCCACACUGGGACUGAGACACGGCCCAGACUCCUACGGGAGGCAGCAGUAGGGAAUCUUCCGCAAUGGACGAAAGUCUGACGGAGCAACGCCGCGUGAGUGAUGAAGGUUUUCGGAUCGUAAAGCUCUGUUGUUAGGGAAGAACAAGUGCCGUUCAAAUAGGGCGGCACCUUGACGGUACCUAACCAGAAAGCCACGGCUAACUACGUGCCAGCAGCCGCGGUAAUACGUAGGUGGCAAGCGUUGUCCGGAAUUAUUGGGCGUAAAGGGCUCGCAGGCGGUUUCUUAAGUCUGAUGUGAAAGCCCCCGGCUCAACCGGGGAGGGUCAUUGGAAACUGGGGAACUUGAGUGCAGAAGAGGAGAGUGGAAUUCCACGUGUAGCGGUGAAAUGCGUAGAGAUGUGGAGGAACACCAGUGGCGAAGGCGACUCUCUGGUCUGUAACUGACGCUGAGGAGCGAAAGCGUGGGGAGCGAACAGGAUUAGAUACCCUGGUAGUCCACGCCGUAAACGAUGAGUGCUAAGUGUUAGGGGGUUUCCGCCCCUUAGUGCUGCAGCUAACGCAUUAAGCACUCCGCCUGGGGAGUACGGUCGCAAGACUGAAACUCAAAGGAAUUGACGGGGGCCCGCACAAGCGGUGGAGCAUGUGGUUUAAUUCGAAGCAACGCGAAAACCUUACCAGGUCUUGACAUCCUCUGACAAUCCUAGAAAAUAGGACGUCCCCUUCGGGGGCAAAAUGACAGG
rnacentral:rRNA from 1 species